CCAGGAGGCACAGCUCUGGGAAUCUCACCAUGGCCUGGAUCCCUCUCCUGCUCCCCCUCCUCACUGUCUGCACAGGCUCUGAGGCCUCCUAUGAGCUGACACAGCCACCCUCGGUGUCAGUAUCCCUAGGACAGACGGCCAGGAUCACCUGCUCUGGAGAAGAAUUGCCAAAAAAAUAUGCUUAUUGGUACCAGCAGAAGCCAGGCCAGUCCCCUGUGCUGGUGAUAUAUAAAGACAGUGAGAGGCCCUCAGGGAUCCCUGAGCGAUUCUCUGGCUCCAGCUCAGGGACAACAGUCACAUUGACCAUCAGUGGAGUCCAGGCAGAAGACGAGGCUGACUAUUACUGUCUAUCAGCAGACAGCAGUGAUACUUAUCCCACAGUGACACAAGCAGACAGGGAAGUGAGACAUAAACCCCUCCCCCUCUAUUUCAUCCUCUUCCUCCUGCCCCAGGAGGACCGUGGACAAAGCCAUGAGCAGGCUUGGCCAAAUUCACCCAAAUCUGAACCCCCAGGCUGCCCUUCCCUCCAGCCCUCCAGGCAGGCGCUGCAAAAGAGUCAGUCUGGAGUGGAUUUGUGCCUGGCAGCCCAGGCUGUCCUGUGUUUCUUUGCCUGGGGUUUGAGUUGUCGAUGGAGGGUCUGACUGGAACGACAGACACAGGGAGACAUCCAUGCAGGCAUGUCCAGAGGGACAUGGGGAACUCUCAGGUCUCAGUUCAGUGCAGUCAUUGUUGUAUCCUCUGGGAAAGCAUUCCUCCAGUGCACCUAAGACCUCCAGACCCACAGAGUCUGAGGUCGGGAGGAGAGAAUGUCAAAUUUUUGCUGAUGGAUCACUAAAGGCAUUUUUGAGUGGAGCCACUACAAUUUACUCCUUGAUUCUGGACUCAUGGAUCCUGACUGUGGGAGAAACAGCACCAUCUAUUGGGCACUGAUACACAGCACGUUCCCCAUCCUGUAAGACAUUGCCCAACCCUACACAUACU